UUAUCGGUAUGAGAUGGCGAUGCGUCCCAUUAGCUAGUUGGUGGGGUAACGGCUCACCAAGGCAUCGAUGGGUAGGGGUUCUGAGAGGAAGGUCCCCCACAUUGGAACUGAGACACGGUCCAAACUCCUACGGGAGGCAGCAGUGAGGAAUAUUGGUCAAUGGACGAAAGUCUGAACCAGCCAAGUAGCGUGCAGGAUGACGGCCCUCUGGGUUGUAAACUGCUUUUAGUUGGGAAUAAAAAGAGGGACGUGUCCCUUAUUGUAUGUACCAUCAGAAAAAGGACCGGCUAAUUCCGUGCCAGCAGCCGCGGUAAUACGGAAGGUCCAGGCGUUAUCCGGAUUUAUUGGGUUUAAAGGGAGCGCAGGCGGCGGCGUAAGUCAGUUGUGAAAUCGUGCGGCUUAACCGUGCAAUUGCAGUUGAUACUGCGUCGCUUGAGUGCACACAGGGAUGUUGGAAUUCAUGGUGUAGCGGUGAAAUGCUUAGAUAUCAUGAAGAACUCCGAUCGCGAAGGCAUAUGUCCGGAGUGCAACUGACGCUGAGGCUCGAAAGUGUGGGUAUCAAACAGGAUUAGAUACCCUGGUAGUCCACACAGUAAACGAUGAAUACUCGCGGUUGGUUCGUUAGAGUCAGCCGCCAAGCGAAAGC
rnacentral:rRNA from 1 species